UACGUAGGUGGCGAGCGUUGUCCGGAUUUACUGGGCGUAAAGGGAGCGUAGGCGGACUUUUAAGUGAGAUGCGAAAUACUCGGGCUCAACUUGAGUGCUGCAUUUCAAACUGGAAGUCUAGAGUGCAGGAGAGGAGAAUGGAAUUCCUAGUGUAGCGGUGAAAUGCGUAGAGAUUAGGAAGAACGCCAGUGGCGAAGGCGAUUCUCUGGACUGUAACUGACGCUGAGGCUCGAAAGCGUGGGGAGCAAACAGG
rnacentral:rRNA from 1 species